AUUGAACGCUGGCGGCAGGCCUAACACAUGCAAGUCGAACGCUAACAGGAAGAAGCUUGCUUCUUUGCUGACGAGUGGCGGACGGGUGAGUAAUGUCUGGGAAACUGCCUGAUGGAGGGGGAUAACUACUGGAAACGGUAGCUAAUACCGCAUAACGUCGCAAGACCAAAGAGGGGGACCUUCGGGCCUCUUGCCAUCGGAUGUGCCCAGAUGGGAUUAGCUAGUAGGUGGGGUAACGGCUCACCUAGGCGACGAUCCCUAGCUGGUCUGAGAGGAUGACCAGCCACACUGGAACUGAGACACGGUCCAGACUCCUACGGGAGGCAGCAGUGGGGAAUAUUGCACAAUGGGCGCAAGCCUGAUGCAGCCAUGCCGCGUGUAUGAAGAAGGCCUUCGGGUUGUAAAGUACUUUCGGCGGGGAGGAAGGGAGUAAAGUUAAUACCUUGGCUCAUUGACGUUACCCGCAGAAGAAGCACCGGCUAACUCCGUG
rnacentral:rRNA from 1 species